GAAUUCGCCCUUAGAGUUUGAUCCUGGCUCAGGACGAACGCUGGCGGCGUGCUUAACACAUGCAAGUCGAACGAGAAUCUGUGGAUCGAGGAUUCGUCCAAGUGAAGCAGAGGACAGUGGCGGACGGGUGAGUAACGCGUGAGGAACCUGCCUUUCAGAGGGGGACAACAGUUGGAAACGACUGCUAAUACCGCAUGAUACAUUUGGGUGGCAUCAUCUGAAUGUCAAAGAUUUAUCGCUGAAAGAUGGCCUCGCGUCUGAUUAGCUGGUUGGUGAGGUAACGGCCCACCAAGGCGACGAUCAGUAGCCGGACUGAGAGGUUGACCGGCCACAUUGGGACUGAGAUACGGCCCAGACUCCUACGGGAGGCAGCAGUGGGGAAUAUUGGGCAAUGGGCGCAAGCCUGACCCAGCAACGCCGCGUGAAGGAAGAAGGCUUUCGGGUUGUAAACUACUUUUAAGAGGGAAGAGCAGAAGACUGUACCUCUAGAAUAAGCCACGGCUAACUACGUGCCAGCAGCCGCGGUAAUACGUAGGUGGCAAGCGUUGUCCGGAUUUACUGGGUGUAAAGGGCGUGCAGCCGGGAAUGCAAGUCAGAUGUGAAAUCCAUGGGCUUAACCCAUGAACUGCAUUUGAAACUGUAUUUCUUGAGUACUGGAGAGGCAAUCGGAAUUCCUAGUGUAGCGGUGAAAUGCGUAGAUAUUAGGAGGAACACCAGUGGCGAAGGCGGAUUGCUGGACAGCAACUGACGGUGAGGCGCGAAAGUGUGGGGAGCAAACAGGAUUAGAUACCCUGGUAGUCCACACUGUAAAC
rnacentral:rRNA from 1 species